rnacentral:rRNA from 1 species
AUAGCGUAUAUUAAAGUUGUUGCAGUUAAAAGGCUCGUAGUUGAACUUCAGACCUGGCUGGAUGGUCUGCCUAACGGUAUGUACUGUCCGGCUGGGCCUUACCUCUUGGUGAGCCGGCAUGCCCUUCACUGGGUGUGUCGGGGAACCAGGACUUUUACCUUGAGAAAAUUAGAGUGUUCAAAGCAGGCUUAUGCUCGAAUACAUUAGCAUGGAAUAAUAAAAUAGGACGUGCGGUUCUAUUUUGUUGGUUUCUAGAGUCGCCGUAAUGAUUAAUAGGGAUAGUUGGGGGCAUUAGUAUUCAGUUGCUAGAGGUGAAAUUCUUGGAUUUACUGAAGACUAACUACUG